AACCUCUCAGGGUCACACCUGGAGAGUUUCCAGUCCUCUACCAGUCUUGAUUAUGGGAGAGAGAGUCAAGCAGAAGCCUUUCCAUUCCAUUCCUAGCUUGGGCAGUGGCUAGUGAGUGGAAGGCAAUCUGCUACAAGU
rnacentral:snoRNA from 1 species